AUCUGGCUCUUUUCUUCCAUUGCUCCAUUGCGACCAUUGGAAGUUGAUCUCUAACUAAACAUACGUCUAGCUUUAUGGUUGUUACUACAAAUUCCUCACCCAGGGCUUGACUGUGACUUUCCUUUCUGCUGUUUGUGACACUUUUGGUUUACUUUAGGAAUGCUUUUCAUCCUUUUGAAAAAAGAGGACACAAGCGUUUGCGGAUUCUAGCUCAAAGGUAGUGUACUUUUGUAUCCAUAGUUAUGAUAAGAGUUCGAUGUUGACGUUUUUAGAAAUUGUAGGACAGAAUCAUGAAACCAUUUUUUUUUAUGUUUUACUUUCAUUAUUGUAUGUUACUUGCCAUUUAACUUGUUAACAUGUGACCUCCGUUUUCUUUUAUAUUGCUCUCAAUGUGGAUUGCGUUAUUAAUCAUUUGGUUUCUUAGUUGCUUGAAUGCUGGAAGGUGAAGGAAAUUAAUUACCAUUUAAUAAAUACUUUUUACUAGUAAAUACCGUGCACUGGUCACUAAUGAUUAUAGAUACAUACUACAUAAUCUGGUUUUAGUACAGUGGAGGAUAGAUCAGAGAGAGAUCCAAGUAGGGUUGUAGUCUGGUGAUGGCUUGGUCAAGCCAUGAUGGUUCAUGCAAUGAGAAGAGAAGUUCAUACAUCGGGUUGAACUGUGUUGGCUCGACUCAUAUGUGAUCUGCGUGUGACAAACACAUGGUAAGCCCCCAUUGCCAGAAAGACUGCAAAUGCUAAACCGCACACAAUGCCAGCAACCCCAGCAGCUCCGUAUCCUGUACCGCCAUUCUGUGAUGUAGAGUAUUUGCUCUCGUGUGCUUCUGUUGCUUGCACUUGAGCUGCCACAUGCAAUGGUGAGCAACUGGAUGUAACACAUGGGUCUUUGGAAAUGGGGUUUUGCGACGUUGGAUUGAAGAAAUCAUAUUGUGACGGUGAAAUUGCCGUUGGGUUUGCUCUGGCAAGGCCGUGGGGGGCUCUCUCAUCAGCAAAAGCAACGGAGAGAAGGGUCAGAGAAGAGAAGAAGAGAAAGAUGGAAACCCUUGAAGGCAUUUUUUCAGACUUGCUAAUGAAGUAGUAGUUGUAGUAGUUAGUGUUUUCCUAUGAUACUUGUGGGUGCUUUAGUGUGGCUUUUAUAAGAUCCUAGGAGGGAGUGGUGGUUGCUUGGACUAGAAUUUUGGUUAUGAAAAAGAGGUCCGGGAGGGAACAGAAUGAUGGUGGUGACAUGGUGGUGUACUCUAUUGAUCUUCCCCAUCCCCUAAUAAAAAUGUCUAAAUUCUAGAAAUACUUUUCAAGGUCAAUUUCGUUGCAUUUUUUUUUAGACUAAUCUAUCCGAGUUCUUGACCUAACUAAUCACUAGGUCCUCUGCUUGACCCAACAACACUUGGGGAGCGAGAAACUCUAGCAUUUGCUUGGUUGGUACCGUGGGAGAAAAUCGAAGCCCAUACCACUUGAGAGCAAACCAAGGACUUGACCGCUAGACCAACAACUCUUAGGUUUCCGAAGGCUUCCUUCUAUCUUUUAAGAGCAUCCCUAAUGAGAGAAGCCAAAUCUUUCGAAAUGAACGGUUUGGAUGUUUUGUUGGUAAGUUCUCCAAUGGACGAGAUGUAAAACACUUAUUGGCCGGACAAUGUAAGUAAAAAUAAAAAUGUCAUUCUUACCAUAUUUGUAUCAUCUCUUUAAUAGAAAUGAGACUCACAUGUGUUGGUGGGUCUUACUUCUACUAGAUGAAUGAUACAAAUAGAUGGUAAGUGUAACAUUACUCAAGUAAAAAUAUAAAUUCUUUUUUUUUU